AUUUUAUUUUAAUCUUGAUUUGUAUAUUCUCUUCUUCUAUCUUAAAUUGUGAUUGUUCGUUUCAGUUCCUUAGCUUGUAGUUCUUCAAAAAAGGUGCCUGAUCAUACUUGUGAAGUACUUCUACAGAAUGGAUCUCUUUCAAAACAGCUGUCAGAUGAAAAUAUGGAUGGGUAUUGGAUUCUUAAACAUGUGCAAAAUCUUUACUACAGAGUCAUACGUAAUAAAAAAAAGGCAUUUUAUGAUAUGCUAUAUUAUGCUAUAAAUAAUUAUAAAAUAAUACAGCAAAAUAAUUAUUUUCUUCCUGACAAAGAAAAUAAGAUACUUUUAGAACGUCUUACAAAAGGAAAAACAUUAAAAGAAAUAAAUAAACAACAAACAAAUCAAUGUGGGUAUUUUUGGUUAAAACGUAAAGAUGGAAAAUAUGACCAAUAUGGACCAUUUCCUCCAAAAAAUGGGAAACAUAGUGAAGAUUUUAUUGUUGAAGAAGUGCUAAAAAUAUUAAACAAAUGUUAUUCAAAGUAUGAAGAGCUUUGGAUUUAUUCUACAAACAGCCCAUGUUUAGCUAGAAACAGCAAUCUGAUUCCUUGUAUGAUAAACUUGAAUCGUUUAAGGGAAAUAUUGAAAAAUACUUAUAAUAUAAAAACAAUAAUUGGCUUUUCAAAGUUUUAUGAUUUAGCUGGUUCUUUUGAGAAUAUUAAAAUAUUUAACGAGGAUAAUUUACCAUGCCAUGAUGAGUUUAAAACAUUAAUUCCACAACUAGAAAAUAAAGCAUUUGAAAUGAAAAAAUAUAAGACAUCUGAUAGUUGUGAAAAAUUUUCAAAUCCAUUAAAUCUUAUUCCAACCAGAUUAAGACAAAAAAUUUUGCACGAGCAAAAAAAAUUGUUCCAACAUCAAGAUUUACUGAAUACGUUUAAUGAAUUUAAAGACCUUGGUCGGGAAAAGAUUAGAAAUACUAAGGAAAAGCUGAAAACUAUGUUUGGUAAUGAUGAUGAAGAUUGGAAGGAUUAUUUUAUGCUUCUUGAAGAUAUAUUUUUAGAAUGGUGGGAUAAAAAGGUGAAUGAAGCAUUCAGCAUAUUUAAAAACAAAAUUGUAAGUGAUUAUUUAAAAAUGUGUUCUUUUCAGCGCUUCCUUAAUGACAUUCCAGACACUGUAAACAAAAACUUUAUUGGCCUUUUGAACCACACUAAUGAUCCUACUCCCCCUGUAAUUAAAUCUGAAAAUGUUAUUUUGAUGGAUUGAUUGGUGUAUUUGUAACAUGUAUAAUGAUUUAAAUAAAAAUCCCAGUUACAAAG